UAAAAGGAUAGAAAAUAGCACUAUUUUCCAUUACUUAUUCUCUCUCCAUGAAGAAUAGGGUUUUAGUUGUGAAAUAGAAAUUGCUCCAACACACCAUGACAACCACGAUCGAUCAAUAAUUCAAAUCGCAGUUUAACUAAGUCUUUCACUUUCGCUACAAAAAGAACAAGAUCGUUCGGAGGUCAAUAAAGGGAAAAACAUAAUUUUAUACUUUGUUCUUCGAACUUAAGUCUGAUGGCCUCCCAUAGGCCUUCUUAGCAGGGGUUUCUGAAGAAGCAGAACCAAAUUCUCCACUGAAGAAAUUUAAGCCACCGGAGUAGGAGAAAGGCCCCAACCAUCAAUAGAAGACUUCCUCAGCUGGCCUCUUUUGUUUAGAUCCAAAUUGGAGGUAAUUCUAGAAGGUCUUGGUGUCACUGGUGUUACUUCUUCACAAUACCGCGCAUUUAGAUUUGAUGGCCGACACACUUAAUCCACGUGCACAGCAUAGAGGACAUUGCAUGUAAGGUAAUGACUUUCUCAUAUCAAGAACCUCAACCAUGGAUAGUUAGUAUUAUAUCUGCAAUCUUAGGAAACGUCAAACUCGGGCAGUCUGCAAUUGGUGGUGGCACUGUGAUGUAUAAGGCUUGUAUGAGUUUUAGCUUAUAGACACUUACCCUUUUCAUUGCCUUUAUCCUGAGAUAUUUGGGGUAGCAUAUGCGUAGUUAGUGUGUAUAUAUAUAUAUAUAUAUGUUGUAGUCUUUUUACUAGAGUUUGUUGAUUGUGUUAUCUGGAAAUUAGAUUGUUUGGCGUUUAUUUAUAGAUACAUACAAAACGUAACAAUUUCCAUUGA